rnacentral:lncRNA from 1 species
AUGGAGAGGAUGUGGCUGCAAGAUGUCCGACAGAUUUGCAGGGUCACUUGGAGAUUGAAGAUCUCAUGAGAAGUUUGGUCUCCCCCCAUGGAGGAAACUCAGUUCAGUUAGGAGACUUGCUCCACCACCCCUUUUUCUGGACCCAUGAGAGCAGGUUUGAGUUUCUUGUGGACGUUGGGAAUAAUCCAGACAUCGAAAAAUACAAUGCUGAGAGUCAGAUUGUGAAAGCUUUGAAUUGCAAUAAGGCAACAACUGAGAAGCACUUCUACCAGUGGACUAAGAAGUGUCAUCAUAGUCCUUUCUGCUUGAUGGUUGUUUGGACUACUGGCUGUAUUCAACUUUUACUCAAUCUGCUCAUGUUCUGUGUCCACCAUGUCUUCAAAGACAGGAUACCUAUUGCUGUUGACAAGACUGAAGGUAUCUAUAAAUGCUUUUUAUUACUUAACCAUUGCA